GUGAACGCUGGCGGUAGGCCUAACACAUGCAAGUCGAACGGCAGCACAGUAAGAGCUUGCUCUUACGGGUGGCGAGUGGCGGACGGGUGAGGAAUACAUCGGAAUCUACUUUUUCGUGGGGGAGAACGUAGGGAAACUUACGCUAAUACCGCAUACGACCUACGGGUGAAAGCAGGGGAUCUUCGGACCUUGCGCGAUUGAAUGAGCCGAUGUCGGAUUAGCUAGUUGGCGGGGUAAAGGCCCACCAAGGCGACGAUCCGUAGCUGGUCUGAGAGGAUGAUCAGCCACACUGGAACUGAGACACGGUCCAGACUCCUACGGGAGGCAGCAGUGGGGAAUAUUGGACAAUGGGCGCAAGCCUGAUCCAGCCAUACCGCGUGGGUGAAGAAGGCCUUCGGGUUGUAAAGCCCUUUUGUUGGGAAAGAAAAGCAGCAGGUUAAUACCCCGCUGUUCUGACGGUACCCAAAGAAUAAGCACCGGCUAACUUCGUG
rnacentral:rRNA from 1 species